rnacentral:lncRNA from 1 species
UGACCUGUCUAGUGAAAUAGUGGACUCCAUGUUAUCAGAGUUAUUCAUGAAGAAGCCGGAAUAUCUACUUACCAGGAAGUGACAGAAAUUUCUUGCAUUUAGUAAGAAGGUUGUUAGAGGACACCUAAGGCUUUGUCAAAUCUUGCUUCCUAAUUGUGGGGCUACAUGGUGGUGCUUAGAGUGGGAUAAGUGGAAAGAGGCCUAGUGCUUACUUAAAAGAGCUGUGGUAUAGACUGAUUGCUCACACCAACAAAAUAAACAAACCUACGCAAUGUUUAUAAAACUAUGUAGUUCAGAAUUCAAGGAAGUUGUCCAAAUUUCAAGACCCAGACAGUUAAGCUCAGGAGCUUAACUUACAAAGCCAAGAAAGAAUUUAAAAAUCACGUCAAAUCCAGAAACAGGAGGAAGAAAAAAAGCUGGUGUUAUCAUUUACAGACAAAUUCUAACAGAGGAGCAGGCCAUAAAAGCUUGGGAAAAAACAUUUUAAAGUGUCCAGCUGCCUCUGGUUUAUGUGAAGAAAGAAGAUGAAAAAUGAGAAGGCAGGAUCGGUAACCACUUUACCUACAAUGGUUAGAGAAGGCGAGAAUUGGAAUCUGAAUGCUAAGAAGAGGCAGCUAAGAGAAGAUCUGAAAAUCAAACAUUUCUAACAGAAGGCACAGAAAGGGUUCCCAGGAAUCUCAAGAAGUAUCAAAGAACUGAGACUUACCAGAUCACCACACCCAGAUAAUGAGUUGCCGACCCCUCAUUCAUCGUGACUGCUUCCUUGCCCCUUCCCAGUUCCUGCUUUCUUAUACAUUGUUACGUUUCUUCCCUGCUGUCUAAACUCUUACUUUUGGUGGGUCAGGAGAUGGAUUAGAGACUGAUCUCCCAUCUCCUGGGCUGCAGCACCCGAUUAAAGCCUUCUUCCUUGGCAA